rnacentral:rRNA from 1 species
GGACUACCAGGGUAUCUAAUCCCAUUCGCUACCCACGCUUUCGUGCUUCAGUGUCAAAUAUGCGCCAGCGUACUGCCUUCGCAUUUGGUGUUCCCCAUGAUAUCAACGGAUUUCACCCCUACACCAUGAGUUCCGUACGCCUCUCGCACUUUCAAGUUCUGCCGUUUCUUCCGCAUGCCCCCGGUUAAGCCGAAGAAUUUGACAAAAGACUAACAGAACAACCUACGCACCCUUUACGCCCAAUAAUUCCGGAUAACGCUCGAGGCUCUCGUAUUACCGCGGCUGCUGGCAC